AGCGAACGCUGGCGGCAGGCCUAACACAUGCAAGUCGAACGAACUCUUCGGAGUUAGUGGCGGACGGGUGAGUAACACGUGGGAACGUGCCUUUUGGUUCGGAAUAACUCAGGGAAACUUGUGCUAAUACCGAAUGUGCCCUUCGGGGGAAAGAUUUAUCGCCAUUAGAGCGGCCCGCGUCUGAUUAGCUAGUUGGUGAGGUAACGGCGCACCAAGGCGACGAUCAGUAGCUGGUCUGAGAGAAUGACCAGCCACACUGGGACUGAGACACGGCCCAGAAUCCUACGGGAGGGAGCAGAGGGGGAUCCUGCGCAACGGGGGACAGCCAGACGCAGCCAUGCCGCGUGAAUGAUGAAGGUCUUAGGAAUGUAAUAUUCUUUCACCGGGGACGAUAAUGACGGUACCCGAAGAAGAAGCCCCGGCUAACUUCGUG
rnacentral:rRNA from 1 species